ACCAAACGACCCCUAGACUAUCGGAGAGCAGCCAAACGACCCUUGUUCCAUCCUCUUCAAUGUACACUCCAACUGCCAAUGGUAAUUUUGUUGAUUUUCUUUCUUUUUCCAGUACGAAUCCAACCAAUUUACAGCUAUUAUUGUCUUUUAAAUUUGAAUUUCAACCCAAUCAAAAGAGGGGGAAGUCCCGCAUCGACCAAUACAAACCCUAGGUCAUUUUGGAGUUCUAUAAAUUGAACCCCUUUAUGUUCAAAGAGAAAAAAAGGGGCUUUGAGACCAGAAAAUUGGUUCUUAUACCAUUAAAUGGGUUUUUCAUAACCCUAAGAGUAAGAACACUAAGAAGUCCGGUUAACCCAUUGGAUUUCGAGGAUGUUCUCGCUUAAAUAUAAUUUUUGGAAGUUGUUUCCGCUCGUCGGAAUACGACUCGGGUGAAAGGUGGUUCAUUAACUCCUGUCGCCCCCGUCGCUGCACGUGAAAAAGUUAAAAAACUGCUGCAAUUUGGUUGCCUUGCUAAGGAUGUUUGCUGCAUUCUUUAGCUGUUACUUGGCUGUUGUGAUUACUUCAAACAGUUGCUGCAAAUCUUGGCUGUUGUGAUUACUUCAAACAGUUGCUGCAAAUCUUGGCUCUUUACACCUUUUUUUGGGAGGUGUUUUACUGCUGCAGUUUGGCUGAAUCAUUGUUGCACUUGAGGAUUGAAUAUGCUGCUUCAUCUGGGUUGUUACCUUGUUGCUACUUCGAUGCAACUUGAGAAGUUAAAAAGAACAGAUUGCUACAGUGGUUUUUGGGAACUGAUGUUAUAAUUGAUCCAGUUCUGAACCAAGUUGCUACUGAUGGCUGUUUAUUGCUAUUGCUUGUGUAGUUUGCUGCUGUAUGUUAAUCAUUAACUGCUGUAUGUUAAUCAUUAACUGCUGUCUUUGAUUCUAGGAGAAACAAUGCUUGAGCUGAAACAAUACUUGAGCUGACUCUCACAUUUUAUGAUUGAGCUGCAAUCAUGUUGGUGGCUAAGUUGUUUGCUUCAAAAUAAACAGAUGCUACACUUGGUUGAGAACCACUGCUGAAUUUUGGUAGACUUGAGUUAAUUAUCUGUGUCUUUUGGGCCAAACUACUACUGUCAUCUUGGCCUAAAAAACUUUUAUUGCCUCAAGGCUGUUUCGAACAGUUAGUAUUACUUCUGAUAUUUGAUUUAAGAACGGAUGCUAUAUUUAUAAGAACAUGUUAAUGUGUAACAUAUGCUACACUUUGGGCCGAUGAAAAAGUAUUUAACUUGAGGCGACAUUUUAAAAAAAGAACAGUAUACUUGAUGAAAAUUUAUUGAUUUAAAUAGAUACUUAACAUGAGCAUGCCUAGUCUGGAAAGAUUCUAUCCCUCGGUGGGCAAUGAUGAUCAUAGUCUAGUUAUAAAAUAGGAACCAACAUGCGCUUGGCGAGGUAAUAUAAUGACUGAGGGGUCGCUAUUUCGCAGCCGUGACAUGUUCAGGGGUCCUUUAUCCCAUAUUUGAAAGAAGCAUGAUUCUGAGCCUUUAGUAAUCAAAGCUCUUAUAGUUUGAUGCGAAACCGAGGGAUAUUAUAUUUAUAUUCAUAAACGUCACCCCGUGGGGUGGCGUAUCCUUUUUUACUAAUCAUUCUCCGUUUUAUUCUUGCGAGGUACAAAUAAACAAGUUUGGGGUAUACUACAAGGACUAAUAUUGCACAAUUGGAGCAUGCAUAUGGAAUCCAAGCAAUAUGGAAUGACAAGAAGAGAAGUAGUAGGAGACAAGGCAAAGACUUGGACAUUUGGAGCUUUCAGACGAAGAAUAAGGGAAGAACAGAAUUGCAACAAAAGGUCCAAGAAGGCGAGGAGAUAGGCUUGUCCGAUUAACCUUUCUCCACCUUCAUUCUCUCCCUCCCUUUAGUUAUUUUGAAAAUAUUAUGUUUUACUUGUUUUGUUUAAGUAUCGUUGGAACCCUUAUAGAUUAGAACUUAUGAUUUACAGUUGUCAAAAUUGAUUUUCAAAGACAUGUAUAAAGCAGAUGUGAAAUACGAAUUACUCUUAAUAUAAGCCUGCUUUUCAUAAUUUGACAAUAAAAUAGGAUUGAUGUAUUAACUUUGAGAGUUUGAGCAUAAAUGACUUGGAUUUAAGAAUUAAAUUGAAUUUAAGGAAGGAUGAGAGAUUAGAAACAAAUAAGGUAAACCUAUGAGGAUUAUACUGCUAUGCCCUAAUAAAAGGGAGAACUUUACCUGAAAAACAAAAGAUUUUUAAAGGAGUUUUAAAGGGUAGGCUUAUGUGGUGUUCUUCUUAAGUCAAGUGCCCUCGAGUCUUAACCUAAGUGUCCAAGCCCGAAACCCGGCAUUCAAGAUGUGAUAUUUUGCGUAAAUGACAUUCCUUAUUGCAGAAAUGUAAACCUGAGCAAUUUUUAUCAAAAACAAUUCAUAGCAUUAAGGCAUAUUAUUAGAACCCAUAAGUAAACCGCAAUUGAGCAGAUCCUUAAUACCGGAGUGCCUAACACCUUCUCCGGGGGAUCACCAGAACACUUAUCCAUACUUUGGUUAGAUUAGGUUUCUUUUAAAAUUGAAACGUUUUAAAUGAACUCUUUUCGAAUUGGUUUUUCCUAAUUUCCUAAAAAUUAGGUGGCAACUCUUAAAAAUAAGUCCAUUUAGAGUACCAUUAUGUAGAAGUAUAUUUUUUCCUUUUCCCCGGUAUGAUUGACAACCGUAAAUCCUCGGGACACUUUCCUUUUUAAAUGAGGCAAGUGCAAAUGCGAAUCGGAAAAAAUACGACACGCUACAAUAUCGUCGUCAACAUAUAAGGUCAUGGCUUGUUACACCUCGGACUUACGGAUUUGUUUCCUUGUGAGUAGCCUAAUGUGAGCUUAAGAUGAACAUGAAGUCCUUAUGAGAUUAAGGAGAGUGUUAAGUAGCUUAAAGUGCGUACCAUAAGAUUUCAAAGUCAUAUGGAUAUGUGAUACUAAGUUUGUUGAAGAAAGUGAAUGUAAGUCACGUUUAGGAAGGUUUUCGCGAUAGUUGAUUUGAUAUGUAUUUAACAAUGUCUUGAGGGGCUGCAAUAGGGCUUAUUUUAUGGUUAAAGAAGUGUUAAAUAAGUGUUAAGAAGGUUCCACAAGGAUUGGAGGUCAAAAGAACCAACGAAAACGAUUUGGGAAAAAGGGGAGUUAUACGACCACUUAUACUGUCAGUAUAACUUUAUGUGGUCCGUAUAAGGGUCCGUAUACCAGUUACAGUGAAGGGUCACCACUGGCGAUAUUAUACGGUCACUUAUACGGACCGUAUAAUAUUAUACGAACCGUAUAAGUGUCCGUAUAAAUCCCGACGGGUAGCUUUAUUUUCUUGUUUUAAAUAGGUGACCCAAGUUCUAUUUUUCAUUUCCUAUCUUCUCCACAACUUUUGAGAGCUCUAGAAUAUUCAACACACCUCAUCAACACAAAUCCAAGAAAUAGGGGAAAUGUUGCCCAAUUUUCGUUAACUUAUGAAUUAUUCUAGUUUGAAUGUAAGUGUAUCUUUAAGGCUUAACCAUGGGAUGAAUCCUUCUAAAUGUAGAUUUUCCAAGCUUCGACAGUGAACGUUAAAUGGUUAAAAAGACAAAGAGGUAUGUAGGGCUAACCCUUCUUUCUUAAGGCAUGAUCCUAUUGAUGUACACCUUCAUGUGAAAUUCAUAGUAUCUUCCAUGAUGAUUUCCUUCCUAGAAUCACUAAAGCUCUUGAUCUUUAUAUUCUGACGAUACCAUUGGUCUCAUCCUAUGAUUGUUGAUCCUCUAAGGAAGGAUAUAAUGAAAAUGAUGAUGAUUUUGAGGACAUAUAGGUACUCCUAUGUAUAUAUAUAUUUAUAUAUUAAAGUAUGACUACUAAGAACACCGAGCUUAUAUGGCCGGGUAUGAUAUCUACCGCGCGCACACCACUGCAGUUGGGUAUGGAUAACACUGAGCCUUGGUAGGGCCAGGUAUGUAUAACACCGAGUCUUGUCAUUACCGGCUAUGUGAGACACCGAACCUAUAGUCGGGUAUGGUACUACUAUAUAAGUAAGCAUUAUAAAUGGAAGGUUCCUAUUAGGAAAAAAGGUAAGAAUGCAUGAUGAGUGUCGCUAGAGGUACAGAUGGAUCCAUCAUCUCAUGACUCUUCUAUCUUAUGUCAUCUCUUAUGCUUCUAUUAUGAUUUUGAUUAUAAUUUACAUACUCAGUACAUUAUUCGUACUGACGUCCUUUUGUUUGUGGACGUUGUGUCAUGCCCGCAGGUGGACAGGGAGACAGACUUGAUCCUUAGGCUGCUUAUCCAGAGAUUUCUUAGAGGAGCUCCAUUGAUCCGGAGCUGCAGCUGUGGGUACUAUUAUUUUGUGUAUAUAUGGGCAUGGCGAGGCCCUGUCCCAUCCUUAUGAUAAUGUUUCAUACUCUUCUUAGAGGCUCGUAGACAGUCGUGUAUAGUAGAUGUCUUUUGCCUUGUCCCCUCAUACUUUUGGUAUAUUAUUUUGUUAAGCCUCAUCGGCUUGUGUAUAUGUAUAUGGACGUAGUUAUUGAUGUUGA